AUUGAACGCUGGCGGCAGGCCUAACACAUGCAAGUCGAACGCGUGGCGGACGGGUGAGUCAUGUCUGUGAAACUGCCCGAUGGAUGGGGAUCACUCCUGGAAACGGUCGCUAAUCCCGCCUACCAUCGGAUGUGCCCAGAUUGGAUUAGCUAGUAGGUGGGGUAACGGCUCACCUAGGCGACGAUCCCUAGCUGGUCUGAGAGGAUGACCAGCCACACUGGAACUGAGACACGGUCCAGACUCCUACGGGAGGCAGCAGUGGGGAAUAUUGCACAAUGGGCGAAAGCCUGAUGCAGCCAUGCCGCGUGUAUGAAGAAGGCCUUCGGGUUGUAAAGUACUUUCAGCGAGGAGGCGUUACUCGAAGAAGAAGCACCGGCUAACUCCGUGCCAGCAGCCGCGGUAAUAC
rnacentral:rRNA from 1 species